AUAUAUGUAUAUAUAUAUAUGUAUGUAUAUAUAUAUGUAUCUGGACUCAUGAGUCAUCUUCGUAGUCAUAAAACGAGACAAAUGAGUGACAACCUGGCCACUGGUGGUGGUGUAACACUCCAUACUAAUUAUAUCUGUCGGGCAUGCGGAAAAGAGUGUAAUUCGGCAGGAGGACUUAAACGACAUGCAAAGGUACAUGAAGCCCAGUUACAACUACAGCCGGCUAUUAACGGUAAGGGUUCUAGUUGCCAAUUUUGUACAAGACAUUGUAGAUC